GACGUAGGGCGCGAGCGUUGUCCGGAUUUAUUGGGCGUAAAGAGCUCGUAGGCGGCUUGUUGCGUCGACUGUGAAAACCCGCGGCUUAACUGCGGGCUUGCAGUUGAUACGGGCAGGCUAGAGUUCGGUAGGGGAGACUGGAAUUCCUGGUGUAGCGGUGAAAUGCGCAGAUAUCAGGAGGAACACCGGUGGCGAAGGCGGGUCUCUGGGCCGAUACUGACGUGAGGAGCGAAAGCGUGGGGAGCGAACAGG
rnacentral:rRNA from 1 species